GUCGGGAACUCAAAGGAGACUGCCAGUGAUAAACUGGAGGAAGGUGGGGAUGACGUCAAGUCAUCAUGGCCCUUACGACCAGGGCUACACACGUGCUACAAUGGCGCAUACAAAGAGAAGCGACCUCGCGAGAGCAAGCGGACCUCAUAAAGUGCGUCGUAGUCCGGAUUGGAGUCUGCAACUCGACUCCAUGAAGUCGGAAUCGCUAGUAAUCGUGGAUCAGAAUGCCACGGUGAAUACGUUCCCGGGCCUUGUACACACCGCCCGUCACACCAUGGGAGUGGGUUGCAAAAGAAGUAGGUAGCUUAACCUUCGGGAGGGCGCUUACCACUUUGUGAUUCAUGACUGGGGUGAAGUCGUAACAAGGUAACCGUAGGGGAACCUGCGGUUGGA
rnacentral:rRNA from 5 species